UCACGAAAACAAAAUCCAGGGAAAAAAAAACCCCGCUCCACCCGCCGCCGCCCCAUGACCCAAACCCCCUCCCUCCCAGCCCCGGAACCCGAGGAAGAAACCCGAAAACCCGUCUCCGCCACCAGCGGCGGCGAAGGGACGACAGGGAUGAGACUGAUAGUGCCCUUACAAGGGGUAGUCCAGGGUAGGGGCGGCUUGAUACUGGGCUCGCUCAUCCCUUGCGCCCUCUUCUACUUCCUUCAAUUCUACCUCAAACGACACCGCUCUUCGCCAAACCCUCCCCCUCCGCCGUCGCCUUCCUCUUCUUCGAACCUCGCCGAGCUGCAACGAACGACCUCGCGGGGUAAUCUAACCGGCCGUGGGUCGACAGGGAGUGUUCAUAUUUCUAAUAGGGCUAGUUCGAUUGCAAAACCGAACGAUUCACCGUAUUAUGUUGGGUUGGAGAGGGCUAUGGGAGAUGCUUAUGAUGAGUUGAUGAAUCCGGAUGGUGUUAUUCAGCUUGGAAUUGCUGAAAAUAGACUGUCAUUGGAUUUGAUUGACCAGUGGUGUUCGAAGAAUUUGAACGAAUCGAUACUUGGAGGAGUUGGUGGUUGUUUGGGUAUUAGUGGAAUUGCGACGUACCAACCGUUUGAUGGGUUGUGGGAAUUGAAAGUGGCUAUGGCAGGGUUCAUGUCUCAGAUAAUGGGAAGAGCAGUAACUUUUGACCCAUCUCAACUAGUAUUGACAUCUGGUGCGACUCCUGCCAUUGAGAUACUCAGCUUUUGUCUGGCAGACCCGGGGAAUGCAUUUCUUAUUCCCACACCAUACUACCCUGGUUUUGAUAGGGAUAUGAGGUGGCGAACAGCGGUAGAUUUAAUUCCAGUUGCCUGUCGUAGCUCUGACAACUUCACCUUAACAAUCACAGCUCUUGAUCAAGCUUUCCAUCAGGCUAGAAAACGGGGGCAGAAAGUUCGUGGAAUUCUCAUAUCGAACCCUUCUAACCCUAUUGGCAGCGCGUUGAAUCGCGAGACACUCUACGAUCUCUUGGACUUUGCUAGAGAUAAGAACAUCCAUAUCAUAUCUGAUGAAAUAUUUGCAGGGUCAAUAUACGGAAGUGAAGAAUUUGUAAGCAUGGCAGAAAUUCUAGACUCUGAAGAUGUUGACAAGGACAGGGUUCAUAUAAUAUACGGGCUGUCUAAAGACUUGUCUCUUCCGGGUUUUAGAGUGGGGGCCAUUUAUUCCUUGAAUGAACAUGUUUUGACAGCUUCCAAACGGAUGACGAGAUUUUCCUCAAUUUCAGCUCCAACUCAACGGCUACUAAUUUCGAUGCUUUCAGACACAGGGUUCAUGCAGGAAUACAUGGAAACCAACAGAAAGAGGUUAAAGUCAAUGUAUGAUUUGUUCGUGGGGGGUUUGAAACAAUUAGGCAUUGGGUGUGCAAAGAGCAGUGGCGGUUUAUUCUGCUGGGCUGAUAUGAGUGGAUUUAUUCGUCCUUACAAUGAGAAGGGGGAGCUUGAGUUGUGGGAUAAGCUCUUGAACAUAGGCAAGAUCAAUGUAACUCCUGGUUCAGCUUGCCACUGCAUCGAACCGGGGUGGUUCAGAUGUUGUUUUACUACAUUAUCGGAGAAUGAUAUUCCUGUAGUUAUAGGACGAAUUAGGAAAGUUGUUGAAACUUGUAAACCUCCCACUUGAAAUCCCCAAACGUCUGGAGAUAAACUAAUAUGCCUAAUCACCCUUGACAUUGCUCUAUAAGAAAUUGUGAUACCAGUGCUCGAGGAGAGUGUCAGAUUUUGAAGUAAAUGUUCCAGUAUAACUACAAUGGAGCUCUUGCACAUUUUGAAGUUUUGGUUGCAUUAUAAAGAAGUUUUCCCAUGACCCAGAAGUCAAGGGUAAUUGUUUCUAUAAUGGCAUUAUGGGUCGACAAGUAGUUUUAUUCUCAUGACUCUGAACUGAAGAGCAAUGUUCUAAAAGUCGCUAGGCGCUAGUCGGGCGGUCAACCUCCUUCGAGCGAUUAAUCGGUGCCUAUUAAUUAGUAAUCGGCGAUUAAUCGUUAGUCGGGCCCCGCCAGCGAUUAAUCGGCAAUUAAUCACUGAUUAAUUCCUUGUUUUAGAACAUUGCUGAAGAGUAAACCAACGGUUUACAAAGCCAUGGUACAGGAAGGGAACCUACAAGAAGGGUGAUUAUGAAGUGGAAGGGAGAAGGAGCAUUUUUCUACAUCAGUUUCAGUCGCAGCUGCCUCUUCCACUUCCGCUGCAAUCCUUCAAUCCAGUGGCUAAUCCCCAUCCAGCUGUUAAUCCUAAAGAUGCAGCGUCCAAUUGCUCUAUUCUUCAUAGUUUCCUGCCAUUUUACAAUCAGGCAAGAAUAGCAGUUACCAAAUUGCAUGGGGCAAACAGUUGGUUUGCAGGUACUCAUCUAAACAGUCAAGAGGAGGAGGAGGAGCUGAAGAAUUACCAUGGGGAGUUGCAUUUGAACUUCUUUUCUUCGAUAACUUAUUCUGCUGCUCAUCAUUAGCAGCUCUCCGAGUGUUAGUGACCUUUUGACUGCAACACUGCAAUUGCUCUCACGGUCGAAAUCUUUACUCUGGACUUUCCUUGGAAUAUUUGAACUGCUCUUUUCUGUGCAGCCAUGCUUUUCAAGGAAACUGGUAUGGGGUGAUGAUAACAGCGGAAAUAGACACUCCAAGAAAGCUUCCCCUACUAGGCUUGUUCCUGUUGCAUAGCUGUUUUCAGAAUCUGGCGAAGAAGGUGAUUUCAGCUCGCCACUGUUAGGAACAGCAUUAGAAACAGCCAGACUUGAUACUAGGCAACUGGUUGGCACAGAAGGAGCUGAGCAGAAGGAUCCAUCGGUCUCAAAUCCAUACCCAUCAAUGUCUGAUUUGAAAAUCCUGUAUUGUUCCUCCUCACUUCCAUUUUCAUCGCCACUAUCUGUAGUUUUUAUCAGAGGUGAGUCUAAUUCAAUAAGUUUUUCUGGUUGGAGUUGAAUUCCUACUUCUUGUGGUGCCUGGGAAAAGUGGCGAAGUGGUGUUCCGGGCUUUUCCUCCCAUUCAAAGGGAAUUGAGGCAACAAGCUUGACCGGAAGAGGUACAACUGGAUUAACUGUUUGGGUGCUGGGUUUCCAGUCCUUUUUAGGUGUUCCUGGUUUUUCUUCCCAAACAAACGGAACUGAGAUUGGUUGUCUGAUUCGGGUUCUGUUGGAAUUCUCUGAGGGUUCUACCUCAGCCAUUUUGGGAUGGGAUUUAGUGUUCCAAGGCAUGGUUUCUAUUUGGACUCUGGAUAUAUGUUGUGGAGCAAAGUGGGUUAGGAAUAUGUUUUGAUGACCUUUGAUGCUAACUGCACCAUUUUAACCCUCUUGAUGAUUAGGUUCACCUGCUCACUUUUCCAAGAUCAUAUCCUAAUUAGAAAUCCCUCUGAUAGGUGUGGCCAGUAGCCAAUCCGCUAGGUUGUUAUACUUGUUAUGCAAAGUUGCUCUUUAUAUCAUUGUUUAUAGCAUAUGCAGUUAAGGAAGGAUUCCUCACGAAGAAACUGAAGUGUGCUUUAUUUAUUUAUUUAUAUCAAAUUUGUUAGAACAAUAAGAUUACGAUACUGGAAA